GCGGGGGUAGCUUGCUACCUGCCGGCGAGUGGCGAACGGGUGAGUAAUACAUCGGAACGUGCCCUGUAGUGGGGGAUAACUAGUCGAAAGACUAGCUAAUACCGCAUACGACCUGAGGGUGAAAGUGGGGGACCGCAAGGCCUCAUGCUAUAGGAGCGGCCGAUGUCUGAUUAGCUAGUUGGUGGGGUAAAGGCCCACCAAGGCGACGAUCAGUAGCUGGUCUGAGAGGACGAUCAGCCACACUGGGACUGAGACACGGCCCAGACUCCUACGGGAGGCAGCAGUGGGGAAUUUUGGACAAUGGGGGCAACCCUGAUCCAGCAAUGCCGCGUGUGUGAAGAAGGCCUUCGGGUUGUAAAGCACUUUUGUCCGGAAAGAAAUCGCUUCGGUUAAUACCUGGAGUGGAUGACGGUACCGGAAGAAUAAGGACCGGCUAACUACGUGCCAGCAGCCGCGGUAAUACGUAGGGUCCAAGCGUUAAUCGGAAUUACUGGGCGUAA
rnacentral:rRNA from 1 species